CUCCAUCUGCUGCAAGAGGACAGGGAGGAGGAGCUCAUUAGAGGGGCACCUAGACAUGGAGCCAUGCAGCUCCGCUUCUCAGGAAGUUUUGCAGCUUCAUAAAGCAAAGAAAUGUCAACUGAAGAAACAUCUGGAGGGCAGUUGGAGAAUCAGAUGAUGGUGCGUUUAGGUGCGUAAAGCUCCAAAUCUCCUGGCUGAUUUCUAAAGCUGAGCGACUGUUCCAGACACAUGAAGCGCCUCUGCUCUGGUUAAAACCCAGCUGAUGUUCCUCCUCUGCAGGGAGACUGAUGUUCAUUACACAACAGACUCAUCUGCAGGACGAUGGGCCCAAACAGUGCAACAAGUCUACAGUGGAAAAACCAAAAAAGGGAAAAAUGAGGUGCUGCAGUUGUCUAGUCAAAGGUCAGAGGCGUAAUAACUGAAACGAUCAAGUGGGAGCCGUGAAGAAUGAACUGAAGCAAUGGAAGAGAGUGGACCAAAACAACCGUCCAAGAUGAAUGUAACAAUUCCACAGGUGUGUCAGUAAGUGUGGAGAAUGCUGCCCAGGAAGUGAUAAAAUAUCUUCUAAGUGAACCUCAGACAAGAGAAUUAUAUUUCCAAUCAGAUGCCCUAAUGCUAGCUUGCUGAGUCCAACCUCUAUUUACCUGUGCAGUGGAAGGCUGCUCAGAGUGCUGUCAGCAUUAAGCUGGGACCUUUUGGAGCCAAGUUAACAUCACCUGGCUAGAGGUCCUAGUUCACUGGAAAAAAGGGUAUCAGGAGCAUCAGCCUUAGCCAAGAGAAGAACCACAGCAUCGGAAAUCCACUUCAAACUUUUUCUGUUGUGUCAAAUCUCCUGCAAACUCCUGCCGUUUUUCAUAAAAAUUCAUUUUUGCACAUUAGAAAUAAAUUUAAGUUUGAUCCCUUUUCUUUUUGUGUC